AUUGAACGCUGGCGGCAUGCCUUACACAUGCAAGUCGAACGGCAGCACGGGGGCAACCCUGGUGGCGAGUGGCGAACGGGUGAGUAACAUAUCGGAACAUACCCUAGAGUGGGGGAUAACGUAGCGAAAGUUACGCUAAUACCGCAUACGAUCUAAGGAUGAAAGUGGGGGGAUCUUCGGACCUCAUGCUCAUGGAGUGGCCGAUAUCUGAUUAGCUAGUUGGUGAGGUAAAGGCUCACCAAGGCGACGAUCAGUAGCUGGUUUGAGAGAACGACCAGCCACACUGGAACUGAGACACGGUCCAGACUCCUACGGGAGGCAGCAGUGGGGAAUUUUGGACAAUGGGGGCAACCCUGAUCCAGCAAUGCCGCGUGAGUGAAGAAGGCCUCGGUUGUAAG
rnacentral:rRNA from 1 species